rnacentral:rRNA from 1 species
CACGUAGGGUGCGAGCGUUGUCCGGAAUUAUUGGGCGUAAAGAGCUCGUAGGCGGUGUGUCGCGUCGGCCGUGAAAACCUGCAGCUUAACUGUGGGCUUGCGGUCGAUACGGGCAGGCUUGAGUUCGGUAGGGGAGACUGGAAUUCCUGGUGUAGCGGUGAAAUGCGCAGAUAUCAGGAGGAACACCGGUGGCGAAGGCGGAUCUCUGGGCCGAUACUGACGCUGAGGAGCGAAAGCGUGGGGAGCGAACAGG